rnacentral:rRNA from 1 species
AGAGUUUGAUCAUGGCUCAGAUUGAACGCUGGCGGCAUGCCUAACACAUGCAAGUCGAACGGCAGCACAGCAGUAGCAAUACUGUGGGUGGCGAGUGGCGGACGGGUGAGUAAUGCAUCGGGAUCUACCCAAACGUGGGGGAUAACGUAGGGAAACUUACGCUAAUACCGCAUACGUCCUACGGGAGAAAGCGGGGGACCGAAAGGCCUCGCGCGGUUGGACGAACCGAUGUGCGAUUAGCUAGUUGGUAGGGUAAUGGCCUACCAAGGCGACGAUCGCUAGCUGGUCUGAGAGGAUGAUCAGCCACACUGGAACUGAGACACGGUCCAGACUCCUACGGGAGGCAGCAGUGGGGAAUAUUGGACAAUGGGCGCAAGCCUGAUCCAGCAAUGCCGCGUGUGUGAAGAAGGCCUUCGGGUUGUAAAGCACUUUUAUCAGGAGCGAAAUACUACUGGCUAAUAACCGGUGGGGCUGACGGUACCUGAGGAAUAAGCACCGGCUAACUUCGUGCCAGCAGCCGCGGUAAUACGAAGGGUGCAAGCGUUAAUCGGAAUUACUGGGCGUAAAGCGUGCGUAGGCGGUUAUUUAAGUCUGUUGUGAAAUCCCCGGGCUCAACCUGGGAAUGGCAAUGGAUACUGGAUAGCUAGAGUGUGAUAGAGGAUGGUGGAAUUCCCGGUGUAGCGGUGAAAUGCGUAGAGAUCGGGAGGAACAUCAGUGGCGAAGGCGGCCAUCUGGAUCAACACUGACGCUGAGGCACGAAAGCGUGGGGACAAACAGGAUUAGAUACCCUAGUAGUCC